GGUUAAGCGACUAAGCGUACACGGUGGAUGCCCUGGCAGUCAGAGGCGAUGAAGGACGUGCUAAUCUGCGAAAAGCGUCGGUAAGGUGAUAUGAACCGUUAUAGCCGGCGAUGUCCGAAUGGGGAAACCCAGUGCAAUUCGUUGCACUAUCGUUAACUGAAUACAUAGGUUAACGAGGCGAACCGGGGGAACUGAAACAUCUAAGUACCCCGAGGAAAAGAAAUCAACCGAGAUUCCCCCAGUAGCGGCGAGCGAACGGGGAGCAGCCCAGAGUCUGAAUCAGCUUGUGUGUUAGUGGAACGGUCUGGAAAGUCCGACGGUACAGGGUGAUAGUCCCGUACACCAAAAUGCACAGGCUGUGAACUCGAAGAGUAGGGCGGGACACGUGGUAUCCUGUCUGAAUAUGGGGGGACCAUCCUCCAAGGCUAAAUACUCCUGACUGACCGAUAGUGAACCAGUACCGUGAGGGAAAGGCGAAAAGAACCCCGGCGAGGGGAGUGAAAAAGAACCUGAAACCGUGUACGUACAAGCAGUGGGAGCACCUUCGGGUGUGACUGCGUACCUUUUGUAUAAUGGGUCAGCGACUUAUAUUCUGUAGCAAGGUUAACCGUAUAGGGGAGCCGCAGGGAAACCGAGUCUUAACUGGGCGUUAAGUUGCAGGGUAUAGACCCGAAACCCGGUGAUCUAGCCAUGGGCAGGUUGAAGGUUGGGUAACACUAACUGGAGGACCGAACCGACUAAUGUUGAAAAAUUAGCGGAUGACUUGUGGCUGGGGGUGAAAGGCCAAUCAAACCGGGAGAUAGCUGGUUCUCCCCGAAAGCUAUUUAGGUAGCGCCUCGUGAAUUCAUCUUCGGGGGUAGAGCACUGUUUCGGCUAGGGGGUCAUCCCGACUUACCAACCCGAUGCAAACUACGAAUACCGAAGAAUGUUAUCACGGGAGACACACGGCGGGUGCUAACGUCCGUCGUGAAGAGGGAAACAACCCAGACCGCCAGCUAAGGUCCCAAAGUCAUGGUUAAGUGGGAAACGAUGUGGGAAGGCACAGACAGCCAGGAUGUUGGCUUAGAAGCAGCCAUCAUUUAAAGAAAGCGUAAUAGCUCACUGGUCGAGUCGGCCUGCGCGGAAGAUGUAACGGGGCUAAACCAUGCACCGAAGCUGCGGCAGCGACACUAUGUGUUGUUGGGUAGGGGAGCGUUCUGUAAGCCUGCGAAGGUGUGCUGUGAGGCAUGCUGGAGGUAUCAGAAGUGCGAAUGCUGACAUAAGUAACGAUAAAGCGGGUGAAAAGCCCGCUCGCCGGAAGACCAAGGGUUCCUGUCCAACGUUAAUCGGGGCAGGGUGAGUCGACCCCUAAGGCGAGGCCGAAAGGCGUAGUCGAUGGGAAACAGGUUAAUAUUCCUGUACUUGGUGUUACUGCGAAGGGGGGACGGAGAAGGCUAUGUUAGCCGGGCGACGGUUGUCCCGGUUUAAGCAUGUAGGCUGAUUGUCCAGGCAAAUCCGGAUAAUCAAGGCUGAGGUGUGAUGACGAGGCACUACGGUGCUGAAGUAACAAAUGCCCUGCUUCCAGGAAAAGCCUCUAAGCAUCAGGUAACAUUAAAUCGUACCCCAAACCGACACAGGUGGUCAGGUAGAGAAUACCAAGGCGCUUGAGAGAACUCGGGUGAAGGAACUAGGCAAAAUGGUGCCGUAACUUCGGGAGAAGGCACGCUGGUGUGUAGGUGAAGUCCCUGCGGAUGGAGCUGAGACCAGUCGAAGAUACCAGCUGGCUGCAACUGUUUAUUAAAAACACAGCACUGUGCAAACACGAAAGUGGACGUAUACGGUGUGACGCCUGCCCGGUGCCGGAAGGUUAAUUGAUGGGGUUAUCCGUAAGGAGAAGCUCUUGAUCGAAGCCCCGGUAAACGGCGGCCGUAACUAUAACGGUCCUAAGGUAGCGAAAUUCCUUGUCGGGUAAGUUCCGACCUGCACGAAUGGCGUAAUGAUGGCCAGGCUGUCUCCACCCGAGACUCAGUGAAAUUGAACUCGCUGUGAAGAUGCAGUGUACCCGCGGCAAGACGGAAAGACCCCGUGAACCUUUACUAUAGCUUGACACUGAACAUUGAGCCUUGAUGUGUAGGAUAGGUGGGAGGCUUUGAAGCGUGGACGCCAGUCUGCGUGGAGCCAACCUUGAAAUACCACCCUUUAAUGUUUGAUGUUCUAACGUUGGCCCCUGACCGGGGUUGCGGACAGUGUCUGGUGGGUAGUUUGACUGGGGCGGUCUCCUCCCAAAGCGUAACGGAGGAGCACGAAGGUUAGCUAAUCCUGGUCGGACAUCAGGAGGUUAGUGCAAUGGCAUAAGCUAGCUUGACUGCGAGCGUGACGGCGCGAGCAGGUGCGAAAGCAGGUCAUAGUGAUCCGGUGGUUCUGAAUGGAAGGGCCAUCGCUCAACGGAUAAAAGGUACUCCGGGGAUAACAGGCUGAUACCGCCCAAGAGUUCAUAUCGACGGCGGUGUUUGGCACCUCGAUGUCGGCUCAUCACAUCCUGGGGCUGAAGUAGGUCCCAAGGGUAUGGCUGUUCGCCAUUUAAAGUGGUACGCGAGCUGGGUUUAGAACGUCGUGAGACAGUUCGGUCCCUAUCUGCCGUGGGCGCUGGAGAAUUGAGGGGGGCUGCUCCUAGUACGAGAGGACCGGAGUGGACGCAUCACUGGUGUUCGGGUUGUCAUGCCAAUGGCACUGCCCGGUAGCUAAAUGCGGAAGAGAUAAGUGCUGAAAGCAUCUAAGCACGAAACUUGCCCCGAGAUGAGUUCUCCCUGAGACUUUAAGUCUCCUGAAGGAACGUUAAAGACGAUGACGUUGAUAGGCCGGGUGUGUAAGCGCAGCGAUGCGUUGAGCUAACCGGUACUAAUGAACCGUGAGGCUUAACCUU
rnacentral:rRNA from 1 species